GACGAACGCUGGCGGCGUGCUUAACACAUGCAAGUCGAACGGUAAGGCCCUUUCGGGGGUACUCGAGUGGCGAACGGGUGAGUAACACGUCGGUGAUCUGCCCUGCACUUUGGGAUAAGCCUGGGAAACUGGGUCUAAUACCGGCUAGGACUACGCGAUGCAUGUCGUGUGGUGGAAAGCUUUUGCGGUGUGGGAUGGGCCCGCGGCCUAUCAGCUUGUUGGUGGGGUGAUGGCCUACCAAGGCGACGACGGGUAGCCGGCCUGAGAGGGUGUCCGGCCACACUGGGACUGAGAUACGGCCCAGACUCCUACGGGAGGCAGCAGUGGGGAAUAUUGCACAAUGGGCGCAAGCCUGAUGCAGCGACGCCGCGUGGGGGAUGACGGCCUUCGGGUUGUAAACCCCUUUCAGCACAGACGAAGCGUAAGUGACGGUAUGUGCAGAAGAAGCACCGGCCAACUACGUG
rnacentral:rRNA from 1 species